AUACGGAGGGUGCAAGCGUUACUCGGAAUCACUGGGCGUAAAGCGCGCGCAGGCGGGCUGAUAAGUUGGAUGUGAAAGCCUACGGCUCAACCGUAGAACUGCAUCCAAAACUGUCAGUCUAGAGUGUGGGAGAGGAAGAUGGAAUUAGUUGUGUAGGGGUAAAAUCCGUGGAGAUAACUAGGAAUACCAAAAGCGAAGGCAAUCUUCUGGAACACUACUGACGCUGAGGCGCGAAGGCGUGGGGAGCAAACAGGAUUAGAAACCCGAGUAGUCC
rnacentral:rRNA from 1 species